GAUGAAGAACUCAGCGAAAUGCGAUAAGUAAUGUGAAUUGCAGAAUUCAGUGAAUCAUCGAAUCUUUGAACGCACAUUGCGCCCCUUGGUAUUCCGAGGGGCAUGCCUGUUCGAGCGUCAUAUUAACCACUCCCGCUUGCGGGGUCUUGGGCUUCGCCUCCGGGCGGGCCUUAAAAUCAGUGGCGGUGCCGUCGGGCUCUACGCGUAGUAAAUUUUCUCGCGAUAGGGUCCCGGUGGAUGCUUGCCAACAACCCCCAACUUCUUAAGGUUGACCUCGGAUCAGGUAGGGAUACCCGCUGAACUUAAGCAUAUCAAUAAGCGGAGGA
rnacentral:misc_RNA from 1 species